AUGGAGACAGACACACUCCUGCUAUGGGUGCUGCUGCUCUGGGUUCCAGGUUCUGCUGGGGACAUUGUGCUGACCCAGUCUCCAGCUUUGUUGGCCAUGUCACUAGGACAACAGGCCACCAUCACCUGCAAGGCCAGCCAGAGUGUCCAUAAUGAUUUUUUUGGUACUAGUUUAAUGCACUGGUACCAACAGAAACCAGGACAGCCACCUAAACUCCUCAUCUAUGAUGCAUCCAACCGAGAAUCUGGCAUUCCUGCCAGGUUCAGUGGUAGUGGUUCUGGGACAGACUUUACUCUCACCAUCAAUCCUGUGGAGGCUGAUGAUGUUGCAACCUAUUACUGUCAUCAAAGUUAUGAGGUUCUUCCCACAGUGCUCCAGGGCUGA